rnacentral:rRNA from 1 species
CGCCUAACACAUGCAAGUCGUGCGAGAACGUCCCCUUCGGGGGGCAAGUAAAGCGGCGCACGGGUGAGUAACACGUGGAUAAUCUACCUUUAAGUCCGGGAUAACCCGCCGAAAGGCGGGCUAAUACCGGAUAAGACCACGGGACACAUGUUCCGCGGUUAAAGGCGGGGACCUUCGGGCCUGCCGCUUUAAGAUGAGUCCGCGUCCCUUCAGCUUGUUGGUGAGGUAACGGCUUACCAAGGCUAAGACGGGUAGCUGGUCUGAGAGGACGAUCAGCCACACUGGCACUGGAACACGGGCCAGACUCCUACGGGAGGCAGCAGUGGGGAAUUUUGCGCAAUGGGCGAAAGCCUGACGCAGCGACGCCGCGUGAGGGAAGAAGGUUCUCGGAUCGUAAACCUC